rnacentral:ncRNA from 1 species
UAUUCCGUACUGAAACUUGUUAGAACAAGAAAUUAGCGGAAUGACCAAUUUUGUCUGACCGAUCAUCAACGCAGCAAUGGCGUAAGACGUAUUGAUCUUUCAGACAGUUAGCGGGCUGCGGGUUGCAGUCCUUACCGGUACAGGCUCUAUGGAUUUCACGGCGCAGGAAGGCGUUCACACUGGGAUAUCCCGGCGCUCAUCUGGAUCAAAUGAUUAAGAUGAGCAGGUUAAGCCGCCACGCCGGCUACGUGAAAAACGAUGGGUAUAAAUGGAAUCUUCUCUGGUGAUACAUCCCAGGCAGUUCCCCUGAUAAUUGCGCUGUGUUUCCGUUUGAAAUACAGGCGACCGACACUCUGCGCCUCUUAAGCGCGCGACAACCGUGAGGUUGGCGACGUGAAACAGACACGAGGCCAUCGGUUUCCCCCGGUAAGGCGUUACUCUGCCCGUAGCUUAGUCGUCAA